rnacentral:snoRNA from 1 species
UGAAGAUGACGAGUCACAGCACUGGGCACUGAUUUUAUUAAAAUAAUAAAUUUUGCAUAUGAGUGACAACGCUUUAAGUAGGCCUAGAAAACCUACGUUACUGAUUCA